rnacentral:rRNA from 1 species
AACGCUAGCUACAGGCUUAACACAUGCAAGUCGAGGGGCAGCAUGAACUUAGCUUGCUAAGUUUGAUGGCGACCGGCGCACGGGUGAGUAACGCGUAUCCAACCUUCCGUACACUCAGGGAUAGCCUUUCGAAAGAAAGAUUAAUACCUGAUGGUAUGAUGAGAUUGCAUGGUAACAUCAUUAAAGAUUUAUCGGUGUACGAUGGGGAUGCGUUCCAUUAGAUAGUAGGCGGGGUAACGGCCCACCUAGUCGACGAUGGAUAGGGGUUCUGAGAGGAAGGUCCCCCACAUUGGAACUGAGACACGGUCCAAACUCCUACGGGAGGCAGCAGUGAGGAAUAUUGGUCAAUGGGCGCGAGCCUGAACCAGCCAAGUAGCGUGAAGGAUGAAGGUCCUAUGGAUUGUAAACUUCUUUUAUACGGGAAUAAAGUGGUCCACGUGUGGACUUUUGCAUGUACCGUAUGAAUAAGCAUCGGCUAACUCCGUGCCAGCAGCCGCGGUAAUACGGAGGAUGCGAGCGUUAUCCGGAUUUAUUGGGUUUAAAGGGAGCGCAGACGGGGGAUUAAGUCAGUUGUGAAAGUUUGCGGCUCAACCGUAAAAUUGCAGUUGAUACUGGUUCCCUUGAGUGCAGUUGAGGCAGGCGGAAUUCGUGGUGUAGCGGUGAAAUGCAUAGAUAUCACGAAGAACUCCGAUUG